AACUGGUUGGCUCUGUGACGACGCGUGUGAGUUCGACUCGGACUCAAUGAUGAACCUUGAUCCCUUCUGGCAGCCCUUUCCAGGCUCAAGGACAGUGAUACUGCCCAGGCAAAGGCAUGGGAAGCCAGGACUGGAGCUGGCCCAGGGCCAAGAUUUGCAAGUUGCUGGUGUUCAGUUGGAGUCCUUGGAAUAUUUGUGUUUUGGCCCAGUUCAAAAGUCCAUGGUUCUACCAGUGAGAAUGUGCAUAUGGCCCAUCUCCUAAUGGCCUCCUGGAUCCAUUUUAAAACCCCUUGAUGUAAGUGACUCCAUUUUAUUUCACCUUUCAUGAAACUAUGAACUAAGUACAUUGAAUAAAUAUUACAAGGAUCAUAUCUGAACAAAGUCAUCAUAUAGAUGCAUGUAUGAUCCAAUGUUAUCAUCCUGUAUUUCCUUCUUUCAUUUAAGGCAAUGUCCUAAUUCACUGCAGUGUGGAGAAACCGCC
rnacentral:lncRNA from 1 species